rnacentral:snoRNA from 1 species
CCUUUACAAUUGAUCACUGAAAUUCAGGUAAGUUUUAUGUGUUGAAAAUAUUCUUGCUGAUGCC